GAUGAACGCUAGCGGCAGGCCUAAUACAUGCAAGUCGAACGGUAAACGGCCCUUCGGGGCUGUGAGAGUGGCGCACGGGUGCGUAACGCGUAUGCAACCUACCCAAUGCUGGAGGAUAGCCCGGAGAAAUUCGGAUUAACCCUCCAUGAGGAGCUGAUGGGGCAUCCCAAUGGUUUCAAAUAUUCAUAGGCGUUGGAUGGGCAUGCGUGCUAUUAGAUAGUUGGCGGGGUAACGGCCCACCAAGUCUACGAUAGCUAGGGGAUCUGAGAGGACGGUCCCCCACACUGGUACUGAGACACGGACCAGACUCCUACGGGAGGCAGCAGUGAGGAAUAUUGGUCAAUGGGUCGAAGGACUGAACCAGCCAUGCCGCGUGAAGGUGACGGCCCUAUGGGUCUUAAACUUCUUUUGUAAGGGAGCAAUAAGGUCUACGUGUAGGCUGAUGAGAGUACCUUACGAAUAAGCAUCGGCUAACUCCGUGCCAGCAGCCG
rnacentral:rRNA from 1 species